UGUGCAUUUAAACAUAAACCAAGCCAGCCAGUUAAAUGGUGCUGGGUCCAGUCAUUAGUCCAGCCACUGUGAUGUAUCCCAGCACAGUAAUGUAUCACAGCAGAGCGGUGGGUCCCAGCACAGCAAACCAUACUGACACAGGAAGCAGUCCAGGCACAGCAACCGGUCCAGGGACAGCAACCAGAUGGGACAAAGUAAUAGGUCUUCUGCACAUGAAUCAAGACGUACAGGGCCUCAUAGGGAAACAGACUUAAGAUUCCCAAUGGAUAUGGCAAAGUUUCAGAAAAAAGUUUUGUCUAAAUUGGUGGAAAUCCACAUGGAGGUCAGAAGGCUGGGAAGAAGCGAGCCUACCCUUCCAUCCACCCAUAUACAGCAGCUGGAGACGAUGAAGGAGUUUGCGAGACUUUUCAAGUCUUUAAGUCCCUGGUAUGAUUUGCAAGACACACUCUGGAAAUGAAGUAAUUUAUCAGUAAUAUAUCAGUGAAGUGUGUUAUUGUCUAAUGUUUUCUAACAUGACAGGAAUAUUAUCCCCUCUCUUUGAAGGUAUUCCAACUUGCAAGAAUUGGAGGGAAAGAUGUAAGGGAUUGUGUCCAUAGAAUGCUUGACAGGCUCUUUACCAACUGAUUGAUGGCCAAAUUCAAUAUGAAGGGGAAGGGAAAGAAGCAGAAACUGCCUUUGGAGACGACUAAAACUUAUGAAAAAAUUAAUGGUACUCAGCAUUUUCCCCAUGUCAUUUAAGUUUAA